CAGUCAUGUGCAUGGUCUCCUUCAUGGACACCCGCUUGAACAUCCUGCCUGGAACAAACGAUCUCCAGACUCCUCCCAGCUGAGCGGCCAGGAGAUCUGCCAGAUGAAGGAGAAGAUCGGGAAGCUUUGUGCAACAAGAAAAUGGGCCCGCAGAACAUCACGGUAAGGAGUGUGUGGACAACCUGAACCAGGAAGACGACAUGGACAAGCUUGUGUCAUCCUUGUGGGAGCUGGAUAGUGUGGCAGUGCGCAACCCGGAGACACACAGCUACAAGGUCGCCUACAAAGAUUCAUUGUCUCAUUGCACAGAGUACCAUACUUGCCGUGGAAAACGGUGUACGCAACGUUUUGGCCCCAUUUUGUGCCUACGCAAGCUUCAUGAAUAAGGCCCCUGACCAGCUUUGACAAGAGAAGGUCUUGGUUCCUGUAGCUUUCAGGGAUCCUCAGCUUGAGGCUGCGGCCUCUUUAAAGUAAGCAAGCGUAAUGAGCGUUAAAGACACACUCAGUAACACGUGUUUCUCACACACCAAACACAGCAAGUCUCUGAAGGCUUGGAAGACACUCAAAAUGCUUCUUUUUUUUACUUUGAAAAUGAUUAGGAGUGCUUGAGAAAGUUGGAAAAGAAAACGUUUUGACAACAUGAGGACUUCUGAACAAGCU